UAACCUAUCCAGUAACCUCGGUUGGUCUUCACACAUUUGCAACAUUAGCAAUGAUGCCAAUCGUGUUCUAUGUUACCUGCGCCGUAAUCUUCUAUCUUGCUCUCCCCA
rnacentral:lncRNA from 1 species